GUGAGCCAGUAAUGUUUGUCUGGUAGGUCCUGUUUACAGGGGCUGCUAUGUGAGCCAGUAAUGUUUGUCUGGUAGGUCCUGUUUACAGGGGCUGCUAUGUGAGCCAGUAAUGUUUGUCAUGUAGGUCCUGUUUACAAGGGCUGCUAUGUGAACCAGUAAUGUCUAGUGCCUGUAGUCCUAUAAUAUUGUGUGUUGUAUAAACCAGUAAUGUCUAAUGUUUGUCAUGUAGGUCAUGUAAACUAACGCACAAAAGAAAGUACACACCUGGUGUUUUGGGAUUAUUUGAAAAGUGUUGUGAUUUUGACUGUCAACUUUGCAAUUGGGCACGAUAUCUGUGGUGUACAAACUCUUUAAACAUUACGUCGCCUUUUGGAAAGUAAACCAAAAGCACAACGAAUGUAGUUUUUUUUGUACGUCAGUUUAUAUGGGGGAUGUUGUAUGAACCAAUAAUGUCUAAUGGUUGUCUUGUAGGUCCUUGAUGUACUGGGGCUGAUAAGUGUACAUAUAUUACGUUUACCAUGUAGGUCCUGUAUAUAGAGGUUGAUGUAUUACGUUUACCAUGAAGGUCC
rnacentral:lncRNA from 1 species